rnacentral:misc_RNA from 1 species
GGAAGGAUCAUUAACAAAUUCAAAACACGUGUUGGUGGUUGGGGGGUGGUGGGUGGGUAGGCCUUGCCUUGCACACACACACGACCACAACCACUACAUCACACACCUUACUCUCCGACAACACAGGACAACCAACCGAUAGAUAGAAACAACUUUUAACAAUGGAUCUCUCGGCUCUUGCAACGAUGAAGAACGCAGCAAACUGCGAAACGUCAUGUGAACUGCACUCUUCGUGAAUCAUCCAAUCUUUGAACGCAAUUUGCACCCUGUGGCUUUUGUCACAGGGUAUACUUGUUUGAGCGUCCCGCGCCUCUCUCUGCCUCUGGCGGAGGAUCUGAGACUCGGCGCGACCGAUCGUUGGCAGCGUGCAGUGCCGUGCGUGUGCAGUCAAAUGUGCACUGCACGCACGCACGCCCGCCGCCGCCGCGCCGCAUCGUCGCCGUUUCUUCAAAUGCACUGCACUGCAUGCUCGAGGCGUCUCUGUCCGCACGACGCCACGCGCCCAGACCAUUGGGAUAACAUCCUGACGAUCGUCUGGGCGGCGGUGUUGGGACCGACACGACACGUGCUUGCCGCAGGUCGCUUUUCUGGCGGGGGUCGGCCCAGCCAAUCACAUCCGCCAAAGCAACCAUAACCUAACGGAUCGGAUCUCAAAUCAAGUAAGGAUACCCGCUGAACUUAAGCAUAUCAGUAAGCGGAGGAAAAGAAACUAACAAGGAUUCCUCAAGUAACGGCGAGUGAAACAGGAACAGCUCAAAUUUAAAAUCUGGCACUUUCAGCGAUGAAACAGUGUCCGAAUUGUCAUUGAGAGAGUCGUCUUUCGAGUGAAGGGAUGGACCCAAGUUCUCUGGAAAGGGACAACAAAGAGGGUGAUAUUCCCGUCAAGGUCCAUCGCAUCAUUCAGAGAAGACGGCUCAACGAGUCGGAUUGUUUGGGAAUGCAGUCCAAAAUGGGUGGUACAUUUCAUCUAAAGCUAAAUAGAGGCAAGAGACCGAUAGUGAACAAGUACCGUGAGGGAAAGAUGAAAAGAACUUUGAAAAGAGAGUUAAAUAGUACGUGAAAUUGUUAAAAGGGAAACGAUUGGGAUCAGUGAUAUGAGGGAGUUCUUGAGCGAUGGCGCCUUGUGCGAAUCGUGUUUGGGCUUCCUCAUCCGUUGAGGCUCCUUUUGGAUUUUGGAAAAGGCAAGAGGAAAGGUGGCUCUAUUCAUUUUGAAUGGUUGCUUUAUAGUCCUUUUGAGAUACAAAAUGCAUGCGAGAGGAGAAGCGUGAUUUGUCAGUCACCCAUCAACGAAAUGAUCCUAAACGACCCGUCUUGAAACACGGACCAAGGAGUCUAACAUCUGUGCGAGUAUUUGAGUGGCAAACUCGAAUGCGCAAAGAAAUUGAAAUGCGUGGGAUUUAUCACCUCUACAACGAACGGUGGUAAUGCACCAUGAACCAAUCCUUGUCUUGACUUGGAUCGCGUCAGAGCAUAUCUGUUAGGACCCGAAAGAUGGUGAACUAUGCCUGAAUAGGGUGAAGCCAGGGGAAACUCUGGUGGAAGCUCGUAGACAUUCUGACGUGCAAAUCGAUGUUCAAAUUUGGGUAUAGGGGCGAAAGACUAAUCGAACCAUCUAGUAGCUGGUUCCCUC